rnacentral:tRNA from 1 species
GGGCUGGGGCUCAGUGGUAGAGCACUUGCCUGGCAUGUGUGAGGCACUGGGUCCGAUUCUCAGCACCACA